CCUACGGGGGGCAGCAGUGAGGAAUAUUGGGCAAUGGACGAGAGUCUGAACCAGCCAAGUAGCGUGAAGGAUGACUGCCCUAUGGGUUGUAAACUUCUUUUAUAUGGGAAUAAAAUGUUCCACGUGUGGGAUUUUGUAUGUACCAUAUGAAUAAGGAUCGGCUAACUCCGUGCCAGCAGCCGCGGUAAUACGGAGGAUCCGAGCGUUAUCCGGAUUUAUUGGGUUUAAAGGGAUCGUAGGUGGAUUGUUAAGUCAGUUGUGAAAGUUUGCGGCUCAACCGUAAAAUUGCAGUUGAAACUGGCAGUCUUGAGUACAGUAGAGGUGGGCGGAAUUCGUGGUGUAGCGGUGAAAUGCUUAGAUAUCACGAAGAACUCCGAUUGCGAAGGCAGUUCACUGGACUGCAACUGACACUGAGGCUCGAAAGUGUGGGUAUCAAACAGGAUUAGAUACCCCGGUAGUC
rnacentral:rRNA from 1 species